rnacentral:rRNA from 1 species
UACGUAGGUCGCAAGCGUUGUCCGGAUUUACUGGGCGUAAAGAGCGCGCAGGCGGCUGGUCAAGUCCGAUGUGAAAUCUCCCGGCUCAACUGGGAAACUGCAUCGGAAACUGAUCGGCUUGAAGAUGGGAGAGGGUAGUGGAAUUCCUGGUGUAGCGGUGGAAUGCGCAGAUAUCAGGAGGAACACCGGUGGCGAAGGCGGGUCUCUGGGCAGUAACUGACGCUGAGGAGCGAAAGCGUGGGGAGCGAACAGG